rnacentral:rRNA from 1 species
CAGUCGCCGCGGUAAUACGAAGGGGGCUAGCGUUGUUCGGAAUUACUGGGCGUAAAGGGCGCGUAGGCGGCCAUUCAAGUUAGAUGUGAAAGCCCUGGGCCCAACCUAGGAAUUGCAUUUGAUACUGUUUGGCUUGAGUUCGGGAGAGGUGAGUGGAAUUCCCAGUGUAGAGGUGAAAUUCGUAGAUAUUGGGAAGAACACCAGUGGCGAAGGCGGCUCACUGGACCGACACUGACGCUGAGGCGCGAAAGCGUGGGGAGCAAACAGGAUUAGAUACCCGAGUAGUCCCUGUCUCUUAUAC